rnacentral:tRNA from 1 species
GGGGUUGUAGCUUAGUGGUAGAGAGCUUGCCUAGCAUAUGUGAGGCCCUGGGUUCAAUCCUCAGCACCACCU